rnacentral:rRNA from 1 species
CAGGAUGAACGCUAGCGACAGGCCUAACACAUGCAAGUCAGGGGCAGCACAAGGAGCAAUCUGAGGUGGCGACCGGCGCACGGGUGAGUAACACGUAUGCAACCUGCCUGUAAGCGGGGAAUAACCCGUUGAAAGACGGACUAAUACCGCAUAAUACUAAAUUACUGCAUGGUAAUUUAUUUAAACAUUUAUGGCUUACAGAUGGGCAUGCGCAUGAUUAGCUAGUUGGAGAGGUAACGGCUCCCCAAGGCAACGAUCAUUAGGGGUUCUGAGAGGAAGGUCCCCCACACUGGUACUGAGACACGGACCAGACUCCUACGGGAGGCAGCAGUGAGGAAUAUUGGUCAAUGGACGAGAGUCUGAACCAGCCAAGUCGCGUGCAGGAAGAAUGUCCCUAUGGAUUGUAAACUGCUUUUGCAGGGGAAUAAAGUGCAUCACGUGUGAUGUUUUGUAUGUACUCUGCGAAUAAGGAUCGGCUAACUCCGUGCCAGCCGCCGC